rnacentral:rRNA from 1 species
UACGUAGGCAGCGAGCGUUGUUCGGAGUUACUGGGCGUAAAGGGUGCGUAGGCGGUUGUUUAAGUUUGGUGUGAAAUCUCCCGGCUCAACUGGGAGGGUGCGCCGAAUACUGAAUGACUAGAGUGCGGGAGAGGAUAGUGGAAUUCCUGGCGUAGCGGUGAAAUGCGUAGAUAUCAGGAGGAACACCGGUGGUGUAGACGGCUAUCUGGACCGUAACUGACGCUGAGACACGAAAGCGUGGGUAGCAAACAGG